rnacentral:rRNA from 1 species
GACGAACGCUGGCGGCGUGCUUAACACAUGCAAGUCGAACGGAAAGGCCCUGCUUUUGUGGGGUGCUCGAGUGGCGAACGGGUGAGUAACACGUGAGUAACCUGCCCUUGACUUUGGGAUAACUUCAGGAAACUGGGGCUAAUACCGGAUAGGAGCUCCUGCUGCAUGGUGGGGGUUGGAAAGUUUCGGCGGUUGGGGAUGGACUCGCGGCUUAUCAGCUUGUUGGUGGGGUAGUGGCUUACCAAGGCUUUGACGGGUAGCCGGCCUGGGAGGGUGACCGGCCACAAUGGUACUGGUAUACGGCCCAGACUCCGACGGGAGGCAGCAGUGGGGAAUAUUGCACAAUGGGCGGAAGCCUGAUGCAGGAACGCCGCGUGCGGGAUGACGGCCUUCGGUUUGUAAGCCGCUUUCGCCUGUGACGAAGCGUGAGUGGCGGUAAUGGGUAAAGAAGCACCGGCUAACUACGUG